GGAGAGGUGCCUGAGCUGGCCGAAGGGGCACGAUUGGAAAUCGUGUGUAUCGGAAACGGUACCGAGGGUUCGAAUCCCUCCCUCUCCGCCA
rnacentral:tRNA from 1 species